rnacentral:pre_miRNA from 1 species
CAUGCGAACCAAGAAUAACAGCAGGAUGACUGUAUCUCGAAAUCUGUAGUACAUGGAUUUCGUGAUACCGUUAUCCGGCUGUUACUACUAAUUAACUACUA